ACGCACGCUGGCGGCGUGCUUCACACAUGCAAGUCGAACGGAAAGGCCCUGCUUUUGUGGGGUGCUCGAGUGGCGAACGGGUGAGUAACACGUGAGUAACCUGCCCUUGACUUUGGGAUAACUUCAGGAAACUGGGGCUAAUACCGGAUAGGAGCUCCUGCUGCAUGGUGGGGGUUGGAAAGUUUCGGCGGUUGGGGAUGGACUCGCGGCUUAUCAGCUUGUUGGUGGGGUAGUGGCUUACCAAGGCUUUGACGGGUAGCCGGCCUGAGAGGGUGACCGGCCACAUUGGGACUGAGAUACGGCCCAGACUCCUACGGGAGGCAGCAGUGGGGAAUAUUGCACAAUGGGCGGAAGCCUGAUGCAGCAACGCCGCGUGCGGGAUGACGGCCUUCGGGUUGUAAACCGCUUUCGCCUGUGACGAAGCGUGAGCGACGGUAAUGGGUAAAGAAGCACCGGCUAACUACGUG
rnacentral:rRNA from 1 species